CCACCGCUUUCCCCACUGCUCCUCCCCCUCUCCCCCCACUCCUUCACUUCCCCUCCCCUCCCCUCUCUUUUCUCCCUUCCACUACCAUUCCCCCUUGCUUUAAGGGAAACUUACCUUUCCUGCUCUUCACUGACUUCUUGAUUCUCGUGGCUUUGGCUGCUAUUUUGCCUUGCUUUGCUCUGCUGUGCUAUGCACUGCUUUCUCUGUAUUUCUUGCCAUCCACUCCUUCCUUCGAGUUAUUCUUUACUUUUUGACUUGGCUUUUUUCUUCUUUUCUCUUUACCUUUCUUCUCUUGUCAUUAUUCGUUUUUCCUUUUGUUUUUCUUUUUUCAUCUACUGUUUCUUUUCUUUUUUCUUUUUUUCAUAUUUUUCUGUCUCUUUUUAUUUCUAUUUUCUUUUUUCUUUCUCUUUUCUUUAUCUUUUUUCUUUUUUUAUCUUUUCUCUUUUUUCUCUUUUUUGUUCAUGUUCUUUUUUUCUUUUCUCUUUUUUCUCUUUUUUUCAUUUCUUUCUCUUUUUACUCUUUUUUGUUCAUUUUUUUUUCUUUUCUCUUUUUUCUCUUUUUUUCAUUUUUUUCUCUUUUUACUCUUUUUUGUUCAUUUUUUUCUUUUUUUCUUUUCAUUUUUUCUCUUUUUCUUAUUUUUCUUUUCUUUUUUCUCUUUUUCAUAUUUUUGUUCUUAUUUUUUCUUUUCUUUUUU
rnacentral:lncRNA from 7 species